rnacentral:rRNA from 1 species
GACGAACGCUGGCGGCGUGCUUAACACAUGCAAGUCGAACGGACAGGCCCUGCUUUUGUGGGGUGCUCGAGUGGCGAACGGGUGAGUAACACGUGAGUAACCUGCCCUUGACUUUGGGAUAACCUCAGGAAACUGGGGCUAAUACCGGAUAUGAGCUCCUGCUGCAUGUUGGUGGUUGGAAAGUUUCGGCUGUUGGGGAUGGACUCGCGGCUUAUCAGCUUGUUUGUGUGGUAGUGGCUUACCAAGGCUUUGACGGGUAGCCGGCCUGAGAGGGUGAACGGCCACAUGGGGACUGCGAUACGGACCAGAAUCGUACGGGAGGCAGCAGUGGGGAAUCUUGCACAGUGGGCGGAAGCCUGAUGCAGCAACGCUGCGUGCGGGAUGACGGCCUUCGGGUUGUAAACAGAUUUCGACUGUGACGAAGCGUGAGUGACGGUAAUGGGUAAAGAAGCACCGGCUAACUACGUG